rnacentral:rRNA from 1 species
UACGUAGGGUGCGAGCGUUGUCCGGAAUUAUUGGGCGUAAAGAGCUCGUAGGCGGUGCGUCGCGUCGGUCGUGAAAACUUGGGGCUUAACCCUGAGCUUGCGGUCGAUACGGGCAUCACUGGAGUUCGGCAGGGGAGACUGGAAUUCCUGGUGUAGCGGUGAAAUGCGCAGAUAUCAGGAGGAACACCGGUGGCGAAGGCGGGUCUCUGGGCCGAUACUGACGCUGAGGAGCGAAAGCGUGGGGAGCGAACAGG